rnacentral:snoRNA from 1 species
GGAUCGAUGAUGAGUACCCCUUACUCUAUGCAUUCCUUGGAAAACCUGAACAAAAUGAGUGAGAACCUCUACCACCGCCGUUCUCAUCGUCUCUGAGGUCC